rnacentral:rRNA from 1 species
UCGGGAAUUUUGGGCAAUGGGCGAAAGCCUGACCCAGCAACGCCGCGUGAGGGAUGAAGUAUUUCGGUAUGUAAACCUCGAAAGAAUGGGAAGAAUAAAUGACGGUACCAUUUAUAAGCUCCGGCUAACUACGUGCCAGCAGCCGCGGUAAUACGUAGGGAGCAAGCGUUGUUCGGAUUUACUGGGCGUAAAGGGCGCGUAGGCGGCGCGGUAAGUCACUUGUGAAAUCUCUGAGCUUAACUCAGAACGGCCAAGUGAUACUGCUGUGCUAGAGUGCGGAAGAUGCAACCGGAAUUCUUGGUGUAGCGGUGAAAUGCGUAGAUAUCAAGAGGAACACCUGAGGCGAAGGCGGGUUGCUGGGCCGACACUGACGCUGAUGCGCGAAAGCCAGGGGAGCAAACG